GACGAACGCUGGCGGCGUGCUUAACACAUGCAAGUCGAACGGAAAGGCCCUGCUUGCCGGGUACUCGAGUGGCGAACGGGUGAGUAACACGUGGGUGAUCUGCCCUGCACUUCGGGAUAAGCCAGGGAAACUGGGUCUAAUACCGGAUAGGAGCCAUUUUUAGUGUGAUGGUUGGAAAGUUUUUUCGGUGUAGGAUGAGCUCGCGGCCUAUCAGCUUGUUGGUGGGGUAAUGGCCUACCAAGGCGGCGACGGGUAGCCGGCCUGAGAGGGUGGACGGCCACAUUGGGACUGAGAUACGGCCCAGACUCCUACGGGAGGCAGCAGUGGGGAAUAUUGCACAAUGGGCGCAAGCCUGAUGCAGCGACGCCGCGUGGGGGAUGACGGCCUUCGGGUUGUAAACUCCUUUCGCUAGGGACGAAGCUUUUUGUGACGGUACCUAGAUAAGAAGCACCGGCUAACUACGUG
rnacentral:rRNA from 1 species